rnacentral:rRNA from 1 species
CCCCCUGGACAAAGACUGACGCUCAGGUGCGAAAGCGUGGGGAGCAAACAGGAUUAGAUACCCUGGUAGUCCACGCCGUAAACGAUGUCGACUUGGAGGUUGUGCCCUUUGAGGCGUGGCUUCCGGAGCUAACGCGUUAAGUCGACCGCCUGGGGAGUACGGCCGCAAGGUUAAAACUCAAAUGAAUUGACGGGGGCCCGCACAAGCGGUGGAGCAUGUGGUUUAAUUCGAUGCAACGCGAAGAACCUUACCUACUCUUGACAUCCAGAGAACUUUGCAGAGAUGGAUUGGUGCCUUCGGGAACUCUGAGACAGGUGCUGCAUGGCUGUCGUCAGCUCGUGUUGUGAAAUGUUGGGUUAAGUCCCGCAACGAGCGCAAC